UGUCAUGAAGACUCAUCCCUUCGGGUUUCCGACUGGAUGGAUUUGGGCGUCUGCCAAUUAAAGGCUCGCCUUAAAAGGAUUAGUGGUUGUAAUAGGACGUAAUAAGUUUCGUUCUUUGACUGCUCAUAACCCCACCCUUAGCAAUAAGGCUACUUCUUUAAUCUGACCUCAAAUCAGGUAGGGCUACCCGCUGAACUUAA
rnacentral:misc_RNA from 1 species